UUCACAGGGAAGCCGCAGAGAGGACGGGUCAACAGGCCACGGCGUCAGCACGACUUCACAGCUCAAAAAUACAGUAUUCAAGACUAUUUCAUUUAUUGCCUGGCAUGUGAUGACCAACGCAAUGCCAACUACAGGUCACUGAUAGAGGGUCAAAAUUACCUAAGCUCCAGAUGGGUUGGUCAAAUAUUGCAUAACCUACCAGAUGAGGAACACAUCACUCUUAAAUGACCUGUCCGGUACUCCCAGUCCAUCUACAACCAUCAUAAUGUUGAAAUAACUCUGCAGAGGAGGGAUGGCAAAGUAACAGAGGAAAGUGUUGCAGUCAUACAGCAGCUCUACUUUACAAAGUGAAACAGACUGUGACCCAAGGCUUUACAGGUACUGCCUGCACCGACGAAGCAUGUGCCUGGAACAAAUCCUCUUGGAAAAAUGUGGUGCCAGAUACAGUAGAGAACAUUCAAGUGCCAGACCAUGAACCUGGAAAAUGUAUGAAAAUUACAUCUACAGCAUUUGAGUCAGAUGCAAAUGUUGUUAGACAGUUUUCAUUGCCUGAGAUGGCUGGUUUAGCCUGUAUACCUGGAACAAUUUUACAUCAUGUGUUGACUGCACAGCCACGGAAAAAUGUAAAUGCAAAUGCACAAACGAUACAUCAUGCACAGUGUGCUGAAGACAAAUGUAAACUCUGCAAUGACAUUUUUGAAAAAUUUGUAAAAUGUGGGAAAGAUGGGAGAGAAAGUAUAGAAUCAAAAACAAAGGGGCAGAAUUGUCAAUUUUGGCUAGACCAGAGAAAAAUUUGAAUAACUAGCAGUGAGGCAUCUGACGUUCCUAAAAAAGCUGACCCAACCAUCUGGGUUGAAAGAAAACUUAAUGGCAAGUUUGUUGGAAGCGCAGCCAUUAGGUAUGGACAAACAUCAGAGCCUUUGGCAAGAAAAUGUUUUGAGGAGACCACAGGAAAAACAGUAGAGACUUCAGGUCUUGUUGUGGAUGAGAGAGAAAACUGGCUUGCAGCCAGCCUUGAUGGCAUAAUUGACACAGAUACCAUCCUUGAGAUUAAGUGUCCAACACUGAAGAAGCUGGAGUCACAUGAUGGCAGUCUGCUGAAAAUGAUUGAAUCAAACAAAUAUGAGAUAAAACAUAUCAAUGGCAGAUACAUUCUUAAGGUAACUGCAUCAGGCUUAGGGUACAACUACCAGGUCCAAAUGGCAAUGCAUUGUGCAAACAAAACAUAUUGCAAGUUUCUGGUAUGGACCCCAAAUGAAUAUAUUAUCGUGGAUGUGCCAUACAACAAAGACUGGACAAUGGAGAAAAUCUGCCACCUGAAAAAGGUUUACUUUCAACAUCUACUCCCAGCAAUAGCUACAAGAAUAGCACAUGGAGUAAUGGAAAUCAGAAUCAGGUAGUUGAGGAUCACAUCCUUCUCAUCACAAUUCACUCUUAAGAGUGAAAUGUGUACAGAAAUUAGUUUCUUAAAAGCAAGUUAGGCAAACAACUGUUUCAUUUAAUCAAUUUACAUUUCAUUUUCAUUCAUAUGAAGCACUUAGUUUGGCAACAUUAGAUUAACUGUACAUGGUUUUUUUUUCUUGCAUUUUAUACAAGAAAUGACAUCACUAUUUACAAUUUACAGUUCAAAAAUGUUAAACAAAUGUGUUACAAAGUUGCUUACUUUAAAAUCAUUUGUUAGUUAGACUUAUGUAGUAUACACAUUUCACAACUGAUAUUAUAUUAUAUUUAUAUUAUAUUAUAUUCCUGCACACUAUAAAAUGACAAUGUUUCAGUUCAGAGACUUUACCAAAACAUUUUCUAAAAUCCUUUGCUUCCUGUCUGUUUGAGACAUAAGAGACGUAACUUUGAUUACAAAAAACUUCUGUAAUUGAUAACCUGUACAUUUGAAUGUGUUUUGUUGUUACUUGUUUGCUUGUUUACUUUUUUACUAUCAAUUAUUAAAAAAUGGAGAUUG